UCGGGGUUCGUGGCUGGCCUGCUGCACCCCAAGACGGUGGAGAAGAAGAGCGGGAAGAUCUCCAACGAGCUAAAGGCCCAGGUGAACGGGUGGCAGGACCUGUCCGAAGCGCUGUUGAAGACGGAUGCGAAGCCCCCGGCGGGAAAGCCGCCAGCAAAGUUCACGCCGAUCGAGAAGAUGGGUGUGAGGACGGCAGAGCAGGCGGCCGCCACCCUGGGGAUCCUACUGUUCGUCCAGGUGCCCGGUGGGAUGACAGUGGCUCAGGCGCUGGAGCUGUUUCAUAAGAGUGGGGGGAAAUAGGUAGUUGUGCAGGUAUAUCUGCAUGGGUAUCGUAUAAGUCAAAUAAACAUGUCACAGAGUGACUAAAUGAUAUAAAUAAAUAAACAUGUCACAGAGUGAGUGAAUGAUAUAAAUAAAUAAACAUGUCGAGUUCAUGUUGGGUCCAACCAUAAAAUUGCCAUCCAACAUAUGUCUCGCAUAUGCAAAUGCGCGAUUUGGCUAGUAUAAUCUCACACUUACACACAUGGAUAUAUUGCACCAUUUCAAUAUUUUAUUUAUCGGUUUUAUGUUUAUACACAGUUGAUAUUCAUUGGAUAGGUGGAUUUCCUGGGAAAGAAGGUGCAAAGCUUCGAGGCCCAACGGAGCUGAAAUGACUCAGUAUAGCAAUCCCGUCGAGACUAGGCCAGUACCUCGCCGGAGAUAGGGGCGACGAGGUUGACUAUAGUGCCAGUGGUGCCUGUGAGGGUUCACAUGUUUGGGAUGUGUGUGUGUUUUUUACAAUCGACAUGUUUGGAGGUGUUAAGGGCAUCUCCAACCGCGACCCGCAAAUUUACUCUCGCAUCCGUCCGCGAACAGGGGGGGACCAGUCCAAGAUCAAGGAUGCGGGAGGCGGCCAUCCAACGCUGUCCGCAUACAUUUCAAUCCGCAUUUGAACUAACCUGACGAAAUUCAUGAAAACCGGCUCCAGGAUGGACAAUGCCAUCGUAAAGGCUAGCGGGGCGCGUCGGUGUUGGUUGCGGACAUCCGGCAAUGCCUCUGUGACGAUAAGAGACGUAUAGCGGCGGCGGCGGAGCUGGAGGGUGCAAAUACAAAGCAAGGGGGAGAAGGGGCGGAGUGGAAGGAAACGAGACUAAAACGGGGGACUGGGUGGGCCGGGGGUGUUGGAGUCCUACGUGGCUGCUGCCUGGUUUGAACAAUUUUUUAUUAAAUUUAAAAAAUAUCUGAAUUUCAAGAAAUGAUGACAAAUUUGAAAAAUGUUUCCGGAUUUUAAAAACUGUUCCUGAAUUUGAAAAUAAAAAUUAUCACAAGUUUGAAAAAAAAUGUUUCCUCAUUUUUUAAAGUGUUCCUGAAUUUUAUAGGUAUUCAUGUAUUUAAAAAAUGUCCCUCCAUUUCAAGAAAUAUUCACAAAAUUAAUAAUAUGCGGCACAAUUAUUUCCUUUUUGGUUUUACAUUUUUAUACGAAAUUGUAAAAAUCAUAAAAAAGAAAUCAACAAAAGCAAAAAGGAAAGAAAAGCAAAUGGGAAAAACUUAUAGAUAAAACACAAAAGGAAAAAAUAAAAGUAAAACAGUCUAGGAAGGUUCUGGUACUUUUCUAUAAACGGGGGGAACACACUAAAAACCCCGAACUGGCCUGGCACAAUAUACUGCCUACAAUUGCGUGAGUGUGUGCGUUUGCUUGCUAACUGUUGACCUAUGAUGGGAUUCUGAAUUAUCAUCUUUAUCCUGCCUCUAGUGAGAUUUUUUUUCUUGAGAAUUCUCGCUCAACUUUAUUGAUUUUUUUAGUCACGCCCAACUUUAUUGAUGAAUCAAAAUGUUCUAGUGAGAUGGAAGAACAACUUGUCACAAUGGAGUUCAUAGUGGGCCGGCUAGUCGGGAAGUAUUGGUCUGCUUCAUUCAUUCCUUUUAUUCAUUUGGUUUCAGCAUUUUUUUACUUUCAUUUUUUUGCUUACUUAUUUAUUUAUUUUUUAAACUACUUCAAUUAUUUAAAAAAAUCUUCACGCAUUAAAUUUAUGUGAUGUAAAGCAGUUUUUCACAUAACUUGUAUUUUUUUUAAUAUUUUAAAAAAAUGUUCAUCACAUUUAAAGAACAUUCACAUGUUUCAAAAAUAUGAUCAACCAUUUUAUUAUAUCUUGAUAAAAUGUAAAACAUUGUUCAUGAAUUUGGAAUAAUAUUUCGUACCAGUGAAAAAAGAACUCAUUAUGCUUACAAGAUGUUUUAUUUUCUCUUAAAUAUUCAUUGUGUUAAAAAAAAGUUCUCCUUGUAUUUAAAGAUAAAAUGGGCAUUUGGCAAAUGUUCCUCUUAUAUUCAUAAAAAAAAUAAACGUGUAUUUGAAAAAUAUUCAACAAGUAUAUAAAGAAAAUUCAUAAUUGCAUAAAAAUAUAUUCGAUGUGCAUUUGACAAAUUUACAAUAUGUAUUAAGAUAAAAUGUUCAACAUGUAUUUGAUAUAUGUUCAAAGUAUAUCAAAAAAGUAGACAGAGUGUAUAUGAAAAACGUUCAACAUAGAUUAAAUAGAGUUAACAUAUGUUUGAAAAAUAAGGAACAAAGAAACAAAAAACAAAAUAAUGCCAAUGAAAACUGAUACAAGAACACACGGAAACAAAGAAGAAGAAAAACUGCACAGACGAAAAUAUCCUAAAGUUUGGAACGAAAAUAUCUCUAAAUAGGCUUUCGCCUAGCUUUUAUAAAUAAAGCAACCACCAUGUCCAUACAACAAGUUCAAAUACCACACUGAAAAUAAAUAAGUCCACUGAGACAACAACGCAAACAUGUCGAGAAAAAGCAUAAAAGAAAGAUGGAACAAAAAGCCACCAAGUGGGUGGAAGCUCAGGCGAUCAGUGGCGAGGCAAGACGGCGCGCUGUAGCAAUCAAGGCGUCCACCAUGAGUUCAAGCCGGUUGCGAUCCCGCUGCCUAGAGAGUGGGUGCCAGUGCUGCAUAAGUGCAAGGAUAUUUUAAGAUAGAGCCAGAGGCCCGUCUAAGAAAAACCCGCUCAUCACCAUCUUUCAUAUCCACACUUACUGUAAAAUCCAAAAACAAAUUUAUAGUUGCAUCUGUAAAAUAAAUCCAGCUAUUUUAGACAUCCAUUUUCAUUUCAACUUGAAUGCGGAUACUGAAUCGUCAUAUACUUUUCGCUCAAAUAUGAACGUACAAUAUUUUGGAUUAUCCAGAUAUUCAGCGGCCCCGGUCAAAUAGCUUCAAGGUUGCGUCCUCGCCCAUGACUACGAGAUGCGAGUCACACGGACCUGCAUGCCGGAUCCGCUGUAGAGCUGGUCGCCUAGGAGAGGAUUGUCUCGUUCCGUAGUGGUGCAGACAUAGAAAGCCGCUCUCGAGGAGUUCGGUCACGACGAAUAAGCGUCAGGUCUCUUCUAUGGAGCCGAUGAACCUGGCCAGCAGGAUGCUCUUCACUUUACCCAUUCUGGGCAUGCGGAAGAAAGUACGCAUCACGACCGCCCCACCGACAACGAUGGAAACGUGCGCAUCGUUCGUGUAAGCAUGGGGGACGGAAUCCUCGGCGCCGAUAGUUGACCUUGCUACCACGGCCAAGGACAGCUGGCGGCGCUUGCCCUUGCUCGUUACACGCCAGUGUGUAGGACUAAGAUCCAUCCACCUGGCGCCUUCCGAGUCCGCCCGCUGCAAAAAUCAACAACAGCUGAGCAACCUCAACAAGCGGCUUGAGACAUUAUUCCGUCAGCAACCUCUCCGUCGUCCAACCGCAAGUCUUUAUCGACUCGCGGAGUUAUCUAGGUUAUUACAAAUUUCUCUAGACAAAAGCAUUGGGCGUUUAAUGACUACACCUCAUAUAUCCCAAGAAAAUGCUUCUCAUUACCAUACUAAUCCUUACUAUCAUCGGUUUUUAGAAUAGCAUUCAAUGUAUUCUCGCUUCUUACUUUUUACUGGAUUGAUCUACGGGCUCUCAGGUACCUGCGGGGCCUUAGAAUCACACAUAAAAAAACGUCAAUUAAGUAAAGUUAAAAUAACGACACACAUAAAAGUAACGUCAAUUAAGUGAAGUCAUCCAACGAUUAUCGUGGCCAAAUACGUAUGGUUGCAACUUGCAAGGCCAUUCCUCAGCCCAUUGCCUUCAAAGAAUUAAUCACACAUUGCGAUCAGAUCAUAGGGUGCACCGAUUACAAGUAUGGAUAACUCAGGGAAGAAUGUCUAUAGUUGUGAUGGAGGUGAUGGUAAUGGAGAUCAGAUGGAAAAUGAUAGUGGCUAGGGUUUGUGAAUGGCUCCUGGUGGUGCUUCGUCGCUUUGCUACAGUUGAAUCUAAAAAGAUAGUAAAAAAUCUCAAGAAAAUUAAAUCUGAUUUCUUUUGCAACAAACUUAAUGUGUUUUCACAUGCGUACAAAUUUUUCCAAUGGAAUGCCAUUUGUGGAGGUCUGGGCAAAAAAUGCAAAAUUGUUGCUUGAAAAAGAUUGUCUUUGGAAGCAUUUUGGAGCAUCAGUUUUUUCGCAGACAACCCUGAAUGUCAUUCCAUCGCAAAAGUUUGCACGCAUGUAAAACACAAAUCAUUGUUUGUUGUGAUUUUUUUGAUGUCUUUUCUUGAAUUUUUCAAGUAUUUUCUUUUAAAAUUUUAAUGUAGCAAAGAAUGUAUACGAGCUCGUGCUCAAGUUAGCACUCUGAAGCGCCUUUGAUCAUGUGUAACAUGCACUCAGAAGUCAAAAGACAGAACUGAUCCCUGCAUCAGUAAAUCACGACAUGACAGCUCCAGAUUUCUUAUUAUUCAAGUUAGCAGCCAUGGCAACUGAAAAAGAAAGAGUUAGCAGCCAUGGUGUGGCCUAAUCAUCGCGUUCGAGAUGCUGCGACCCGUUCCAAAGCUUAGAAAGUGUGCGGAACUGAUCUUCGGCAUAAAGAAAGGGAUCACCCAGAAGAAAAACAUGCCGUCUCCUUCUUUGGACUAGCUAGUCGGCAUAAAGAAAGGGAUCACCCAGAAGAAAAACAUGCCGUCUCCUUCUUUGGACUAGCUAGCUAGGAAAGCAAGCAUAUGUAAAAGUGAAGGCAUGGAAGCGUAUACCUCUAUGUAAGGACGCAUGCAUCUUAUAUAUAGAUCAAUAGGAUUACAAUUGGCGGCAGGUUAGUUAGUACUAGCACAUACAUACCCAAAAAGACUUUUGCCCCGUUUUAUAAAUAAAGGAAACCACCACAGCCACAAGGUACAUAAAGAUUCACACCCACACACAAGCAAAGUAGUAGCAAGACAUAAAGUACGAGGUUCUGCCGAGGACACAACUCAACAAACCCAUAAAAAGAGAAAAGAAGAGACAAAGCACACAGCUUAACUAGCACACACAUAAACACACGCACUCACAUCACGUUACAAGGUACAUACUGAGAUAAGGAUCACCUAAGCCAAGCUAUACAAAGAUAAGGAUCGCCUCUGACAACCUGCCUUGUACAAUACAUGAACAUACGCGCACACACAUCACGUAAAAGUUACAUAUAUGACACGUACACAUAUACAAGCCUAUCGUUUAAUAGGAUGGACCUGUCGAUCGCCUAUAAAUACAUCUCCAGUUUGUUCCUCUUCCAUAUCUCAUCCCCUCUCGCUUAAUAGUCUGUCUCAUCUUGGAUUUGUAUCCAUGGCAGCAAAGAUGGCGAAGAACGUGGACAAGCCGCUCUUCACCGCGACGUUCAACAUCCAGAGCAGCUCUGCCGACUACGUCACCUUCAUCACCGGCAUCCGCAACAAGCUCCGCAACCCGGGGCAGUCCUCCCACAACCGCCCCGUGCUGCCACCGAUCGAGCCCAACGUCCCGCCGAGCAGGUGGUUCCACAUCGUGCUCAAGACAUCGCCGGCCAACACAGGGCUCACACUCGCCACCCGCGCCGACAACCUCUACUGGGAGGGCUUCAAGAGCAGCGACGGCACUUGGUGGGAGCUCACCCCAGGCCUUAUCCCCGGUGCCACCUAUGUCGGGUUCGGCGGCACCUACCGCGACCUUCUCGGCGACACCGACAAGCUGACCAACGUUGCCCUCGGCCGGCAGCAGAUGGCCGACGCGGUGACUGCGCUCUACGGGCGCACCAAGGCCGACAAGACCUCCGGCCCGAAGCAGCAGCAGGCGAGGGAGGCGGUGACGAUGCUGCUCCUCAUGGUGCACGAGGCCACGCGGUUCCAGACCGUGUCGGGGUUCGUGGCUGGCCUGCUGCACCCCAAGACGGUGGAGAAGAAGAGCGGGAAGAUCUCCAACGAGCUAAAGGCCCAGGUGAACGGGUGGCAGGACCUGUCCGAAGCGCUGCUGAAGACGGAUGCGAAGCCCCCGGCGGGAAAGCCGCCAGCAAAGUUCACGCCGGUCGAGAAGAUGGGUGUGAGGACGGCGGAGCAGGCGGCCGCCACCCUGGGGAUCCUGCUGUUCGUCCAGGUGCCCGGUGGGAUGACGGUGCCCCAGGCGCUGGAGCUGUUUCAUAAGAGUGGGGGGAAAUAAGUAGUUGUGUAGGUAUAUCUGCAUGGGUAUUGUAUAAGUCUGAAUAAACAUGUCGCAGAGUGAUUGAAUGAUAUAAAUAAAUAAACAUGUCACAGAGUGAGUGAAUGAUAUAUAAAUAAAUAAACAUGUCUGAGUUUAUGUUGUGUCCAACAGUAAAAUUGCUAUCCAACAUAUGUUUUGCACAUGCAAAUAUG
rnacentral:lncRNA from 1 species